UACGUAGGGUGCAAGCGUUAAUCGGAAUUACUGGGCGUAAAGCGUGCGCAGGCGGUUGUGCAAGACAGAUGUGAAAUCCCCGGGCUCAACCUGGGAAUUGCAUUUGUGACUGCAUAGCUAGAGUACGGUAGAGGGGGAUGGAAUUCCGCGUGUAGCAGUGAAAUGCGUAGAGAUGCGGAGGAACACCGAUGGCGAAGGCAAUCCCCUGGACCUGUACUGACGCUCAUGCACGAAAGCGUGGGGAGCAAACGAGG
rnacentral:rRNA from 1 species